CCCUGCCAUUUGUACACACCGCCCGUCGCUCCUACCGAUACCGGGUGAUAAGGUGAAUUUGUUGGACAGUUUUUACUGGAAGACAAGUAAACCUUAUCACCUAGAGGAAGGAGAAGUCGUAACAAGGUUUCCGU
rnacentral:rRNA from 1 species